GAUGAACGCUGACAGCAUGCUUAACACAUGCCAGUCGAUCGGGAAGUGGUGCUUGCACCCUGGUAACCACGGCGGACGGGUGAGUAACGCGUAAGGAACUUACCUGCGGGACCGGGAUAACAGCAGGAAACUGCUGACAAGACCGGAUAAGGUCAUUAAGCUGCAUAGCUUAGUGAUGAAAGGAGACGCCUGCGGAGAGCCUUGCGUCCUAUUAGCUAGUUGGAGGGGUAACGGCCGACCAAGGCGAAGAUAGGAAGCCGGCCUGAGAGGGUGGACGGCCACAAGGGGAAUGGGAGGCGGCGGUUGCUACUACGGGAGGCAGCAGUGGGGACUAAUGGACAAUGGGGGCAGGCGUGAUGAAGCAAUUCUGUGUGCAAGAAGACGUUUUUCGGAUGGAAGAGUGGUUUCAGCAGGGAAGAAGGAAGUGACGGUACCUGCAGAAGAAGCGACGGCUAAAUACGUG
rnacentral:rRNA from 1 species